UACGGAGGGUGCAAGCGUUGUCCGGAAUUACUGGGCGUAAAGCGUGCGCAGGCGGUGGCUCAAGCCAGGCGUGAAAUCCCCGGGCUUAACCUGGGAAUGGCGUUUGGGACUGGGUCGCUAGAGUGUGGCAGAGGGAGGUGGAAUUCCACGUGUAGCAGUGAAAUGCGUAGAGAUGUGGAGGAACACCGAUGGCGAAGGCAGCCUCCUGGGCCAGCACUGACGCUCAUGCACGAAAGCGUGGGGAGCAAACAGG
rnacentral:rRNA from 1 species